rnacentral:rRNA from 1 species
GUGGAUCCCUCGGCUUGUGGGUCGAUGAAGAACGCAGCUAUCUGUGGGUUGACAUUUGACUUGCAGGACACUUGAACAUCGACAUUUCGAACGCCCCUUGGGGCCCAAAGACUUGUUCCUGGGCCACACCUGACUGAGGGUCGGUUGACCAAACUCAACGACCAGACUGUC